CUCAACACAGCCUCUCUGUAAUGUUUAUGCAAAUCUGCAUCUCCUCUUGUAAUAUUAGCAGCGUUCUGAUCUAGAGAGGAAACACUUCUCAUUACUCUUCCUUCAACACAAACAUGUUUGCUUCAGCUCCACUGCUGCUGCUGGCUCUCGCCCCCUAUGUGUUCUGUGCUACUGAGCUCAUCCAGCCAGACUCACUGCUUAUAAAGCCAGGAGAGACUUUAACCAUCACCUGUAAAGUGUCUGGAGCUUCUAUCACUGAUAGCAGCAGCCACUAUGGAACAGCUUGGAUUCGGCAACCUGCAGGAAAAGCUUUAGAAUGGAUCAAUUUAAUUGACUACGAUGGAGAUAUUUAUGAGAAAGAUUCACUUAAAGAAAAGUUUGUGGUCUCUCGAGACACUUCCAGUAACUCUGUGACCUUACGGGGACAGAACAUGCAGACUGAAGACACAGCUGUGUAUUACUGCGCUCGAAGACCACACAGUGACACGACAAGCUGCAGUGCUGCACAAAAACCUCAUCACAAUUUACUUCCUCAAUUACUGUAAAUAACAACUACAUUUUACUGAGUAAC